GACGAACGCUGGCGGCGUGCUUAACACAUGCAAGUCGAACGGACAGGCCCUGCUUUUGUGGGGUGCUCGAGUGGCGAACGGGUGUGUAACACGUGAGUAACCUGCCCUUGACUUUGGGAUAACUUCAGGAAACUGGGGCUAAUACCGGAUAGGAGCUCCUGCUGCAUGGGGGGGGUUGGAAAGUUUCGGCGGUUGGGGCUGGACUCGCGGCUUAUCAGCUUGUUGGUGGGGUAGUGGCUUACCAAGGCUUUGAAGGGUAGCCGGCCUGAGAGGGUGACCGGCCACAUGGGUCCUGCGGUACGGCGCAGACUCCAACGGGAGGCAGCAGUGGGGAAUAUUGCACAAUGGGCGGAAGCCUGAUGCAGCAACGCCGCGUGCGGGAUGACGGCCUUCGGGUUGUAAACCGCUUUCGCCUGUGACGAAGCGUGAGUGACGGUAAUGGGUAAAGAAGCACCGGCUAACUACGUG
rnacentral:rRNA from 1 species